CGGUGGCGGCGGCCCCGGAGAGCGGCGCUGGGAUGGCGGCGGCGGGGUGGGCGCUGCGCGGGGCGCUCCCCGCGAGGCUCUGGGGCCGCCUGUCCGCGCUGCCGGGCGCGCCCCGCCGGGCCGCUGCUCACUUCGCGUUCCAGCCGGACCCGGCACCCAGCGAGUACGGGCAAACUCAGAAGAUGAACCUCUUCCAAUCUAUAACAAGUGCCUUGGACAAUGCUUUAGCCAAAGAUCCAACUGCAGUGGUGUUUGGUGAAGAUGUGGCCUUUGGUGGAGUCUUCAGAUGUACAGUUGGCUUGCGAGACAAAUAUGGUAAAGAUAGAGUUUUCAACACCCCUUUGUGUGAACAAGGAAUCGUUGGCUUUGGUAUUGGAAUUGCUGUUGCAGGUGCUACAGCCAUUGCAGAAAUUCAGUUUGCAGAUUACAUUUUUCCAGCUUUUGAUCAGAUUGUUAAUGAAGCAGCAAAAUAUCGUUACCGCUCUGGAGAUCUAUUUAACUGUGGAAACCUCACCAUCAGAGCACCCUGGGGCUGUGUGGGUCAUGGUGCACUAUAUCACUCUCAAAGUCCAGAAGCCUUUUUUGCUCACUGUCCAGGAAUAAAGGUUGUUAUUCCAAGGAGUCCUUUUCAGGCCAAAGGAUUGCUGCUGUCAUGCAUAGAGGACAAAAAUCCAUGCAUAUUUUUUGAACCUAAAAUACUUUACAGAGCUGCAGUGGAACAAGUUCCUGUGGAGCCCUACAACAUUCCACUGUCUCAAGCUGAGGUGCUGCAGACGGGCAGUGAUGUGACAAUGGUUGCUUGGGGCACACAGGUACAUGUGAUCAAAGAGGUGGCAGCAAUGGCUCAAGAAAAACUUGGUGUGUCCUGUGAAGUUAUUGAUCUGAGGACCAUCUUACCCUGGGAUACAGAGACCAUUUGCAAGUCAGUGGCGAAGACUGGGCGAUUGCUGAUUAGCCAUGAGGCUCCCUUGACAGGAGGAUUUGCAUCUGAAAUCAGUUCCACAGUUCAGGAGGAAUGCUUUUUGAAUUUAGAAGCUCCUAUUGCAAGAGUAUGUGGCUAUGACACUCCCUUCCCUCACAUCUUUGAGCCUUUCUACAUCCCAGACAAAUGGAAAUGCUAUGAUGCUCUUCAAAAGAUGAUUAACUACUGAGCAGUAGUACAGGUUGAACAGACCAAGUGACCUCAGCAGCUCCUCAUACGGCUUCCUCUCAAGGCCCUUCACCAUCUUUGUUGCCCUCCUUUGGAUGCUCUUUCAUAGCAUAAUGUCUUUUUUAUAUUGUGACACCCAAAACUGCACACAAUAUUUAAGAGAUGAGAACAACAGGGAUAUACAGAAGCUGCCUUCAAAACUCUUGACACUUUAUUCAGAUCUUUCGGGUUUGGAAUUUACAUAGCAGACUUUUUUCUUUUAACUUGGCUAUCCUUAAUAUUCAUCUUGGCUACUCUUCAGAAACUUCAAAUUUUCCUUAAUUUUGAAAUCAGUGAUGGGCAGGUGAUUGCUAUAAUAAGUAGUUUCAGAUGUAUUUAAAGAUAUUCCAGAUGUCAUAUGUAUGUUACACAUAGCCAUGCUUCACUAGGUUACAUCUCUAGACUUCACUGUGUAAAUAUUAGAAGCAGAAUUUUAUUCAAUAAAACAUGUUAUGCUCA